rnacentral:rRNA from 1 species
AGUCUAACCUGCCCACUGAUUUUUUUUAAAUGGCCGCAGUAUUUUAACUGUGCAAAGGUAGCAUAAUCAUUAGUCUUUUAAUUGAAGGCUGGAAUGAAUGGUUGAAUGARAUAUUAACUGUUUCAAUUAAAUUUAAAAUAAAAUUUUAUUUUUUAGUGAAAAAGCUAAAAUAAAAUUAAAAGACGAGAAGACCCUAUAAAUCUUUAUAUUUUAURAAUUUUAAUUAUUUAGAUAAAUUUAAUUAUUAUUAUUUAAAAUAUUUUAUUGGGGUGAUAUUAAAAUUUAUAAAACUUUUAAUUUAUUAUUAACAUUAAUUAAUGAAUUAUUGAUCCAUAAAUUAUGAUUAUAAAAAUAAGUUACUUUAGGGAUAACAGCGUAAUUUUUUUAGAGAGUUCUUAUUGAUAAAAA